rnacentral:rRNA from 1 species
AGAGUUUGAUCCUGGCUCAUAUUGAACGCUGGCGGCAUGCCUUACACAUGCUAGUCGAACGGCAGCACGGGGGCAACCCUGGUGGCUAGUGGCGAACGGGUGAGUAAUAUAUCGGAACGUACCCUAGAGUGGGGGAUAACGUAUCGAAAGUUACGCUAAUACCGCAUACGAUCUACGGAUGAAAGCGGGGGAUCGCAAGACCUCGCGCUCAUGGAGCGGCCGAUAUCUGAUUAGCUAGUUGGUAGGGUAAAAGCCUACCAAGGCAUCGAUCAGUAGCUGGUCUGAGAGGACGACCAGCCACACUGGGACUGAGACACGGCCCAGACUCCUACGGGAGGCAGCAGUGGGGAAUCUUGCGCUAAUGCGGGAAACCGUGACGCAACGACGCCGCGUGGGGGAAGAAGGCCUUCGGGCUGUAAACCUCUUUCAGGAGGGACGAAGCUACUCGGGUUAAUAGCCCAGAGGGUGACGGUACCUUCAGAAGAAGCCCCGGCUAACUACGUGCCAGCAGCCGCGGUAAUACGUAGGGGGCAAGCGUUGUCCGGAUUUAUUGGGCGUAAAGAGCGUGUAGGCGGCCUGACAGGUCUGCUGUGAAAACUCGAGGCUCAACCUCUAGAUGUCAGCGGAAACCGUCUGGCUAGAGUCCGGAAGAUGAGAGUGGAAUUCCUGGUGUAGCGGUGAAAUGCGCAGAUAUCAGGAAGAACACCUAUGGCGAAGGCAGCUCUCUGGGACGGUACUGACGCUGAGACGCGAAAGCGUGCGGAGCGAACAGGAUUAGAUACCCUGGUAGUCCACGCCCUAUACGAUGCAUACUUGGUGUGGGUAGUUCAUUCUAUCCGUGCCGGAGCUAACGCGUUAAGUAUGCCGCCUGGGGAGUACGGUCGCAAGGCUAAACUCAAAGGAAU